AACGAACGCUGGCGGCAUGCCUAACACAUGCAAGUCGAACGAGACCUUCGGGUCUAUUUGCGCACGGGUGCGUAACGCGUGGGAACCUGCCCUUAGGUUCGGAAUAACUUUCCGAAAGGGGUGCUAAUGCCGGAUAAAUGCUUCGGCCCCAAGAUGUAUCUCCUCACAAUGGGCACGCGUGGGAUUAGCUAGUUGGUAGGGUAAAAGACUACCAAGGCGACGAUCCAUAGCUGGUCUGGGAGGAUGAUCAGCCACACUGGGUGUGAGACACGGCCCAGACUCUUACGGGAGGCAGCAGUGGGGAAUAUUGGACGAUGGGCGAAAGCCUGAUCCAGCAAUGCCGCGUGAGUGAUGAAGGCCUUAGGGUUGUAAGGCUCUUUUAACCGCGAUGAUAAUGACAGUACCGGGAGAAUAAGCGCCGGCUAACUCCGUG
rnacentral:rRNA from 1 species